rnacentral:snRNA from 1 species
GGAUGUGAGGGCGAUCUGGCUGUGACCCCUGUCACCCCAUUGAUUGCCAGGGUUCAUUUGGCUGAUCUGGCUGGCUAGGCAGGUGUCCUCUUCCUCCCUCACCACUCCUUGUAUGUCCCUCUCGAAGCUGCGUGCUCAAAGAGGACAACCAUCCCAGAUAGAGGAAGACCAUUCUUCGGUCAAGGGUACACAAGUAGCUGCGCUCCCCUGCUAAAACCUCCAAACAAGCUCUCAAAAAAAAAUGCAAUUUGUUUUCCAAGUGCCCCAAAAAACAGAUCGAAUAUACUAGUUAGCUUU